UUGUAUUUUUAGUAGAGAUGGAGUUUCACCAUGUUGGGAAGGCUGAUCUCAAACUCCUGACCUCAGGUGAUCCGCCCACCUCGGCCUCCUAAGCUGCUGGGAUUAUAGGCGUGAGCCACCAGGCCGGCUUCAUUGUAGUUCUGAUUUGCAUUUCCCUGAUGAUUAGUGGUGUUGAGCAUUUUUUCAUGUACCUGUUGACCAUCUGCAUGUUUUAUUUUGAUUCUCCUUCUAUUAUGAUUAUUAUUAUUAAUUAUCAUUAUUAUUGAGACAGGUUCUCACUCUGUCACACAGGCUGGAGUGCAGUGGUAUGAUCACAGCUCACUGCAGCCUCAACCUCCCUGGGUUCAGGUGAUCCUCCCACCUCAGCCUUCAAGUCGUUGGAACUAGAAGUGUGCAACACCAUGCCUGGCUAAUUUUCGUUUUUGUAGAGAUGGGGUCUCUCCAUGAUACCCAGGCUGGUCUGGAACUCCUGGGCUCAAGUGAUCCUCCCACCUCAGCCUCCCAAAGUGCUAGGAUUACAGGUGUGGACCACCAUGCCCAGCCUAUUAUUGUCAUUUUGAAACAGAGUCUCACUCUGUCACCCAGGUUGGGGUGCAGUGGCAAGAUCAAAGCUCACUGCAGCCUGGAACUCUUGGGCUCAAGUGAUCUAUGCUCCCACUUCCACCUCCUGAGUAGCUAAGACUACAGGUGAGUGGCUAUUUGGAUUCUCCUUUUAAACAGAGUAGCAACUUGAACCAAAAAUACUUUUGUUUCUUCAGAUCCUAUGUUGUAAAUCACUUCUCUUUGAACUAAGUAUGCAGAAGACUUAAGAAGAUGAAGCUGAACAAUAAAAAUAUUAACUAAACAGAUUGAAAGAAACUUUUUUUUUUUUUUUUUUAGAUGGAGUCUCGCUCUGUCGCCAGGCUGGAGUGCAGUAGUGGGAUCUUGGCUCACUGCAACCUCCAACUCCCUGGUUCAAGCGAUUCUCUUGCCUCAGCCUCCUGAGUAGCUGGGAUUACAGGCACGCAUCACCACACCCAGUUUUUGUAUUUUUAGCAGAGACAGGGUUUCACCAUGUUGGCCAGGAUGCUCUUGAUCUCCUGACCUCGUGAUCCGCCUGCCUUGGCCUCCCAAAGUGCUGGAAUUACAGACAUGAGCCACUGCACACUGUACCCGGCCUGUGGUUUUUUUUUUUUUUUAAGACAGAGUCUCACUCUGUGGCCAAGGCUGGAGUGCAGUGGUACAAUCUCGGCUCACUGCAACCUCUGCCUCCCGAGUUCAAGCAAUUCUCGUGCCUCAGCCUCCCAAGUAGCUGAAAACAGCACAACCUGCUAAUUUUUGUAUUUUUAGUAGAGAUGGGGUUUUGCCAUGUUGGCCAGGCUGGUCUCAAACUCCUGGCUUCAAGUGAUCCACCGUCCUCGGCCUCCCAAAGUGCUGGGAUUACAGGUAUGAGCCAUAGCGCCAGGCCUGAAACAAACUUUCAAGUAAGACUAAAACUGUUCCGUGUAGCUGAUGAGUUGUUUUUCCUGCCACUCAUUAUAAAAAUACAAAAAUUGGCCGGGCACAGUGGCUAACACCUGUAAUCCUACCACUUUGGGAGGCUCAGAUAGACAGAUCACUUGAGCCCAUGAGUUCAAGACCAGCCUGGGCAAAACCCCAUCUGUACAAAAAAUACAAAAAUUAGCUGGGCAUAGUGGCAUAUGCCUGUAGUCCCAGUUACUCAAGAGGCUGAGAUGAGAACGAGAAACACCUGAGCCCAGGAGGUCGAGGCUGCAGUGAGCCGUGACUGUGCCACUGCAUUCCAGCCUAGGCUAUAGUGAGACCCUGUCUCAAGAAAUAACAAGAACAACAAAAUGCUCUUGCUUUCAAAUUAUUUUAUUGCCCAUCAAAUUGUAAAUGUUUCUUCAAGACUCUUGAUCAGAUAAUUAUGAGAAGUCACACAACAUACAGGAGAUGACUGGGCUUCAAUCGACUUUACUUGUCAAUAACAGAGUACAACUGAACUUUAAGUGGGAGCUGAAUUUCUUUCUUUCUUUUUUGAAACAGAGUUCCACUCUUGUUGCCCAGGCUGGAGUGCAAUGGCACGAUCUUGGCUCACUGCAACCUCCGCCUCCUGGGGUCAAACGAUUCUCCUGCCUCAGCCUCCCGAGUAGCUGUGAUUACAGGCAUGUGCCACCAUGCCUGGCUAAUUUUGUAUUUCUUUUUUUUUAGUAGAGACAGGGUUUCUCCAUGUUCGUCAGGCUGGUCUCAAACUCCUGACCUCAGGUGAUCUGCCCACCUUGGCCUACCAAAGUGCUGGGAUUACAGGUGUGAGCCACUGCGCCUGGCUCUUUUUUUUUUUUAAUAGUGUCUUGCUGUUACUCAGACUGAAGUGGCGCCAUCAUAGCUCACUAUAGCCUCAAACUCCUGGGCUCAAGCUAUCCUCCUUCUUCACCCUCCCCCACCAUGCUCGGCUAAUUUUUAAAAUUUUUAGUAGAAAUGAGGUCUUGCUGUUUUCCAGGCUCGUCUCAAACUCCCAAUCUCAUGCAAUCCUCCUGCCUCAGCCUCCCAAAGUGCUGGGAUUACAGGUGU
rnacentral:lncRNA from 1 species